rnacentral:lncRNA from 1 species
GGCGGUCUGAAUCCAGACAGGUAAAGGACUGAAGCGCCUGGAAACCGAUGUCUUGUAAUACCUGUGCGGCCGAGCGAUGUCCGCAGUUGAAGUUGAAAUUUUAAACCUUCUGUGCGCAGGUAGAGUCAGCUAUUUAAGAGUUUUCAGCUCUACCACUUGGGUAAGGGGAUCCCCUGAGUACAGGACGAUGUGAAGGGAAACAAAAAUCGAAAACUGAAAUUUCCUUGAGGAACCUCUGUGACACUGGGGCGGGGGGGGGGGGGGGGUGUUAAUUCAGUCAUUCCCGAUAACUACCCGCUAUCACCGUCUGGCUGACCACUGUCUGUCGACACCAGGGGUCCUUUGGUUCAGUGCUGGGGGGGAGGGCGGCUCAUGCUCAGGGAAGCCGCGAAACUCCUGGGCCGUCUUCCCCCCCCUGCCAGCGGGAGCGCAGUGGGCCGACCUCCUAGGCCCGCGCUUCGGUGCUGGGGGCGCGCCCUCCCCGCCCCCCGAAGAACCCUGUGCCCGGGAAUGGGAAAGCCUCCUCUCCUCGCCUCCGACGCGCAGCGCCGGGCCCCUUUCCUCCCGGGGAGGUGGAUUCCAGGGCACCGCAGACUCCUCCCCAGCCACCGGCUCCCAGACAUGACAGCCAUCAUCAAGGAGAUCGUCAGCAGAAACAAAAGGCGCUACCAGGAGGAUGGGUUCGACUUGGACUUGACCUGUAUCCCUUUCCGCGCGGCCGCGGGCCCCCGCACCCGCACCCGACCCGCACCGGGACCCCGCACCCGGGACUCGGGACCCCGCGCCCGCACCCGCACCCGCACCCGCACCCCGGACCCCGGCCUCGGCCUCCCCGGCCCGGCCUCCGACCUCGGCCUCGGGGCUCCGGCCCGGUCUCCGACCUCGUUCCCGGCCCCGGCCCCGGCGCCCCGGCCCCGGCGCCCCGGCCCCUCCGCCCCUCCGCCCCUCCGCCCCUCCGCCCGGCCGCGGCUGUCGGGCGGCGGCGGGUCCCGGCCCUGCGCGCGCCCGGCCCCUCCGGAGGGCCAUUGUCCGCGCCCGCGGGACUCGGUGCCCCUCGGCGGACCCCGGAGCCGGGAACCCGGGCUGCCCGACGCGCGGAGGGGACGCGGCGCCCGGGCUCCGGGGUCGAGCACGUUUCGGUCAAACCUUGGCUUUAGGCCCCCAGAUCGACGGCACAGAUUAGAUGAAGAUGAAAAUUAG